rnacentral:rRNA from 1 species
AGUGAACGCUGGCGGUAGGCCUAACACAUGCAAGUCGAACGGCAGCACAGGAGAGCUUGCUCUCUGGGUGGCGAGUGGCGGACGGGUGAGGAAUACAUCGGAAUCUACCUUGUCGUGGGGGAUAACGUAGGGAAACUUACGCUAAUACCGCAUACGACCUUCGGGUGAAAGUGGGGGACCGCAAGGCCUCACGCGAUUAGAUGAGCCGAUGUCGGAUUAGGUAGUUGGCGGGGUAAAAGCCCACCAAGGCGAAGAUCCGUAGCUGGUCGGGGGGGAUGAACAGCCAAACUGGAACUGAGACACGGUCCAGACUCCUACGGGAGGCAGCAGUGGGGAAUAUUGGACAAUGGGCGCAAGCCUGAUCCAGCCAUACCGCGUGGGUGAAGAAGGCCUUCGGGUUGUAAAGCCCUUUUGUUGGGAAAGAAAUCUUGCCGGUUAAUACCUGGCGAGGAUGACGGUACCCAAAGAAUAAGCACCGGCUAACUUCGUGCCAGCAGCCGCCGUAAUAC